GAUGAACGCUGGCGGCGUGCCUAAUACAUGCAAGUCGAGCGAACAGACGAGGAGCUUGCUCCUCUGACGUUAGCGGCGGACGGGUGAGUAACACGUGGAUAACCUACCUAUAAGACUGGGAUAACUUCGGGAAACCGGAGCUAAUACCGGAUAACAUGUUGAACCGCAUGGUUCAACAGUGAAAGACGGUCUUGCUGUCACUUAUAGAUGGAUCCGCGCCGCAUUAGCUAGUCGGUAAGGUAACGGCUUACCAAGGCAACGAUGCGUAGCCGACCUGAGAGGGUGAUCGGCCACACUGGAACUGAGACACGGUCCAGACUCCUACGGGAGGCAGCAGUAGGGAAUCUUCCGCAAUGGGCGAAAGCCUGACGGAGCAACGCCGCGUGAGUGAUGAAGGUCUUCGGAUCGUAAAACUCUGUUAUUAGGGAAGAACAAAUGUGUAAGUAACUAUGCACGUCUUGACGGUACCUAAUCAGAAAGCCACGGCUAACUACGUG
rnacentral:rRNA from 1 species